AAAAAAAAAUUAAAGCCCAAAAACUUCCUCUCAUCUCCCAAGGACCUCACCUCUCCUCUCCACCAUCUGCUCGCCGCCUGCUCAACCUUACAUGGUUCCAGCCCUAAUCGACGAACCCUAAACCCUAAUCAAACAUCACGGUCCCUAAACACAUUUGAAGAGGUGAUGAAAACCCUAACCUUCUUUUUAUGUAUCUUGUUGGAUUGUGUGUAUAUCUGGUUUUAUAUCUAUAAUAUAUAUAUGUGUAUUCAAGAUUAUUGGGGAUUUGAAAUCUUUGAAAGCAUAGUAGUGUUUGAAAUAGGUUUGUUAUUAUCCAGAUAUUAUUAUGUUGUAGAGACCCUGUAGAAGGUGCGAGGGCAGCCAUGGGUGUCAUCGUUCUCGAUCUUUAUCCCGGCCUCAGAAUCAGCCCCCUUUAUCUCGGACGCUUUGUGCUCAAGGUGCGCUUGUCCCGAAGAAGGUUGAAGGGAAGAUUUUGCUGUGCUUAAGGUGAGGCAAUAUGGGUCGGCUUGACAAGGGCAUAGUGGCUGCACGUGCUGGUGCUUCUAGCAUGAUUCUUUGCAAUGCUGAAGCCAAUAAAGAUGAAAUAAUAGUUGAUCUUCAUGUGCUGCUAGCGACACACAUCACUAUGCUGACGGGCUUUGUCUUUACGCCUACCUUAACUCUACCAUGUAACAACCAUCAUUCCAACAUGGGCUGGCCCGACCCGACCCAUUUUUUACAUGUCAUGGUGAGCUGUGAUCAAUUGCAGAAUGCAGAACCAUGAAGCAUACACUGUAAAUGUGGUUGCUAGUUUUUUAUCUUCAUACAAGGAUCACUUGGAGCCUGCUAUUGCCAAUUUGAGGAAGCUGCUACAGAGCUUGAAAGGGUAUUAGUAUAUAAUCGUUCCAGAUGAAGAAUUUUUGCAUGAUAUCAAGCAAAGGGGAAAUAUUGAGCAGGCCAAGAUUGUGAAUAUCUUUAAUAUAGUGGAAAGCAUUAAAGAGCACUUUUAUAGUGCAAUUGAUGAUUUUUCUAGGAAGACAUUGAACUUAUGGCAGACGCAAGUUUGGAAGCUUUUAGAUUUUCCAUCUCUUGGUCCAGACUGAUCCCAAGUGAUUCAAGGUGAUUCAAGAUACACAAAGUGCAAAUUCAAGACACAAUUUGAAGAUGUCGAGCAGCGGUGAAGAAUUUUACAACACGUUUUACAAUGCUUUUACUUCAGAAUCAUCCGAAAGAAGAUCCGAAACAAGAGAUUAUUCGAAAGAGAUUUCAGAUAAUAUGAAAUAUGACAAUAUGUAUGGAAACCUACAGAAACCACCGAAAUUAAUGAAAGUUGA